rnacentral:tRNA from 1 species
GCUGUGGUGUCCGAGCGGUUAAGGAGAAUGGACUUGAAAUCCAUUGGGUUCUACCCGCACAGGUUCGAAUCCUGUCUACAGCG